rnacentral:lncRNA from 1 species
AACUUGGUCCCAUAAAAGAUAUUACCUCACCCACCUUCUCUUAGUGAAAGAUUAACACCUUUAAUCAGACUGCAGCUCAUCUGAUCAUCACACUGAAUUCUCCACCUCCUUCUGCUCAGACAGUUAUACCAACAGCAGCUGGGUGAUGCUUCUGGUCCCAUUUCCACGUGGCAGUCAAGUCACUGGGACAGCAAAUCUGGCUUGUGUGAUCCAUGGAGUGUCCAGCCCAGUCCAUGUUUCCUGGAGUGUUUCUGGGGAGCUGCAGGAACAGGGGCUGACGCGCUCAUUGAAAGCAAAGGAUGGAUCUUUAACACUCAUAAAUCACAUCAGCGUCCCCAUGGACACCUGGACCAGUGGGAAGGAUUUCACCUGUGAAGUCAAAUUCAACUCUUCUGGUACCAGUGUAAAGAAAAGUACCAGGUAUCCUGCAGCCCCUGACAGCGAGUGCUCACAUUACAUUGUGCCCCUUGCGGCUGGUGCUGGUCUGCUGCUGCUGUUGGUGUCUCUGAGCCUCGUAUGGACCCUCUGCCCUUCCACGCUAGGAGUCCAGCCCAGGGUCUCAGCACCCCCAGCUUCACAGGAGAACCAGGGUGGGAUCUUAUAUGCUCAUCUGGAUUUUGAUUCACGGAAUCGCAACGGGCGCAUGAUGCAGCGACCGGCCAGAGGGAAACAUCUAAAACCCUGAACUGUCUCGUGCAGGGGAAUCCACAUGUGGGAACUGAUGUCUGGUUCUCUGCUGAUCGGACAUAGCAGCUGGAAGAAGACUCUGUCUGUCACCUUUUUUAUUUAUUUUCUCCCCUUUUCUGUUUGCAAUAUAAAGGUCAGAAGAUCCCCACAGGGUUCAACCUCAUAAGAUGGGAAAUCUCCUUUUGGGAUAUAAAGGCAUCACGGUGUAGAUAAUACACUUGUGUACUAGAUUGGAAGCUCUUUGGGGCAGGGACUGUCUCUUUGUUCUGUGUUGGUGCAGCAUCUAGCACAGAGGGGCUCUGAUCCAUAAUCGGGAGUCCUGGGUGCUAUGGUAACACCAUCAUCAUCAUCCUCUCAACUUCAGAGGGACCCGGACACAGCUGAACACCUGCAGCUUCCCUGCCCAGAGUGAGGCCGGAUGGCAGGAACCUGCAGAGGGGACGUGCAGCCCCUGUAUAUGCCACAGCUCCCCUGAUCCUCAGCAGGCUCGUGCUCCCUUUGCAGUAAUGUUACAUGGACGUGCAAUGGGAUUGUGAAGGGGGAGGAUGGAUGCGGGAGGAGCUGGGAGGGAUGAGAAUCUCUCCCCAGGCCAGGGCUGGAGCUGCUACUCCAGUGUUUCCUCUACAGCAGUGUUUCUCAAUGACCAGUCCGUGGACCAGUGCCGGUCCUUGAGAUC